rnacentral:antisense_RNA from 1 species
GGAGGAGGGACCCGGCGUCGCGGCGUGGGUCGGGAGCGGGCGCCUGGGACUACUUCUCGUUUGAAAGUUUUCAAAGGCCAAAAGUUUGAGCCGGUGCUGCGGAUGGAUCCGGCUCUGGCAGUUGCCGCGCUCGGCGACAAUUGGCGACGUAAAUUUGCAUAAGAGAGUGGCCCAUUCGAUGUCCACCCAUCAGGCCACCCAGUAGCCAAGCAGGCUCAUAAGCGCACGUUACAGAUGGUGCGGCCGGGCGCACAGGCCCGAGGGAAGCACAGGCCUCGGCCUCCCAUUUCCCAACCCCUGCACCACCCGCAGCUGGGAGUACCCCAUGGACAGCUGUGGCCAAGGAGAAGCCAGGGAUGAGGGGGAUGGGUCUUACCUCCCCACCAGCCUAGGAAGGGGGUGGGCCCCUGGCAAGCAGGAGGGAAGCUGAGGCUCAGAGACAUCAUGAGGAUGCCAGCUCAAGGCCCAGCCAGGCCUUGGUCCUCAGCUGCUGUCAUCCAGUAGGGUAAGUGGGACCCCCAGGAGGUGUUGGGGGACACUCCUCCCCUCCCCCACACUCACGGUCUGUUCACUGCACAAGGCAGCAGGCUGGACUCGGUGCAGGGACCAUGGCUUGGCGUGGCCAGGUUGGAGUGGCCCCUGGGACUGAAAGCAGGGGGACUGGGGGCUCUGAAGCCGGGCUGAGUGUGGGGACGUCCUGUGGCGGGUACCUUGCCGGGUCCUGUGUGGGGGCCAC